GGGGUUGUGGCUCAGUAGUAGAGCGCUUGCUUGGAACAUGCAAGGGCCUGGGUUCGAUCCUCAACACCA
rnacentral:tRNA from 1 species